GAUGAACGCUGGCGGCGUGCCUAAUACAUGCAAGUCGAGCGAACGGACGAGAAGCUUGCUUCUCUGAUGUUAGCGGCGGACGGGUGAGUAACACGUGGAUAACCUACCUAUAAGACUGGGAUAACUUCGGGAAACCGGAGCUAAUACCGGAUAAUAUUUUGAACCGCAUGGUUCAAAAGUGAAAGACGGUCUUGCUGUCACUUAUAGAUGGAUCCGCGCUGCAUUAGCUAGUUGGUAAGGUAACGGCUUACCAAGGCAACGAUGCAUAGCCGACCUGAGAGGGUGAUCGGCCACCCUGGACCUGAGCCCCGGUCCAGACUCCUACGGGAGGCAGCAGUAGGGAAUCUUCCGCAAGGGGCGAAAGCCUGCCGGGGCAACGCGGCGUGAGUGAUGAGGGUCUUCGGAUCGUAAACCUCUGUUAUUAGGGAAGAACAUAUGUGUAAUUACUGUGCACAUCUUGACGGUACCUAAUCAGAAAGCCACGGCUAACUACGUG
rnacentral:rRNA from 1 species